GACGAACGCUGGCGGCGUGCUUAACACAUGCAAGUCGAACGGAAAGGCCCUGCUUUUGUGGGGUGCUCGAGUGGCGAACGGGUGAGUAACACGUGAGUAACCUGCCCUUGACUUUGGGAUAACUUCAGGAAACUGGGGCUAAUACCGGAUAGGAGCUCCUGCUGCAUGGUGUGGGUUGGAAAGUUUCGGCGUUUGGGGAUGGACUCGCGGCUUAUCAGCUUGUUGGUGGGGUAGUGGCUUACCAAGGCUUUGACGGGUAGCCGGCCUGAGAGGGUGACCGGCGACAUUGGGACUGAGAUACGGCCCAGACUCCUACGGGAGGCAGCAGUGGGGAAUAUUGCACAAUGGGCGGAAGCCGGAUGCAGCAACGCCGCGUGCGGGAUGACGGCUUUCGGGUUGUAAACCGAUUUCGCAUGUGACGAAGCGUGAGUGACGGUAAUGGGUAAAGAAGCACCGGCUAACUACGUG
rnacentral:rRNA from 1 species